GAAGAACUUCAUUGAAUAUUUACAUUAUAGUCAUGGAGUUUUCAAGGUUCCCUCUCAAGAUAUUGGCAAGUGGAGAUAUUUUUACUUCCCUGCUGAUAUUGCCUCUGUGCCAUUUGAGUGCACUUAAUGUAAGAGAGAAACAUUCACAUACCCCAAGGGCUUCCUAUUGACGUGGAAGGAAAGUGAAAGACGGUCAUUGUUGAGACCUAAUCACAACUGCCAAAGGCUUGUCACUUGCAUAGCUUAUAAACAGAUGAAGGAGGAGAAAGCCACACUUCACUCCAUGGUAAGACAGAUCUACUGUUUGAAAAGUUCAAAACCUCAGGGAGUUAAUAUCAGUAGCUGCAGCUGCAAAGUGCCUGACUUGGAGGAAGAAAUUCCAGUGAGAGAUUUUCACCAGACACCCUCACAGGCAUAACUUGAAAGAGCCAUCUAGCUGGCUAUUGAAAGAAGCAGGACUGAAUGGUGAUACCAGUAUGCUGUUCUAAAGCAAGGACAAGUAGCCAUUUAUCUGAUUUAACAGUAGGAGGCAAACUCAUCAUGAAAGACCAGGGAGAUUUUAGGUAGCUCCUUUUUUUCCACUGAACCAUAAUUUCUAAUGUGCCAAAGAGGACAGCCAAAGGGGAUGAAGUCGGACACCUACUGCAUGAACCAGAGAUCAACUCAGCAAAAGGAAAAAAGGAGAAAACACAAUAAGAAAGGGGAGUUGCUGUAGCUGUUGGAAGAGUGGAAAUUUUAUUAUCAUGUACAUAAAGAAAGAAUAAUGUCUUAAGACAGGAGAUGCUACCAAAACAUAAUAUACACACACCUGUUGUUAGCAGUAUUUGAGCACAGGAGGUGCUGGUUCUGAAGUAUCUCGCAGCAUUGCCAAUGAGUGAAAUGAGUGAAUGAGUGAAAUUCCCCAUUAAACUGUUGAAAUCCUGCAAAUUUUCACUGUCACUGCAUGUACCUGGGGGGAAAAGAAUGAUCCAAGAUGUAAAAUUGUCAUUUUGCUGUUGACAAAAAUGUAUUCUUGAGGAUGCUCUGAAUAUGUUACAAGCUGAAUUUAAUUUCUUAACUGUAACUCAGAUGCAAAAAAAGUCACAUUUUAUCUUAUCUUUAUUAAACAAACAGUGUGUUGAAACUGCACUGUUCCAAUGAUCAGCCAAAUGAUAAGAUAGGAGGAAUAGUUAAAAUUCAAAUUCUAAACAGUAGGGUUUGGGGACUGGAAGAAUUAAUGGAUAAUGCUAGUAUUCAGUAAGUAUUAUAGCACCAGAACUUUCCAUAAAUGCAGAACAGUGCUUAGGGUCUUUAAAAUCACUACUGUCAUAAAGAUCAUUUUCAAAACAAAAGAUGUAUAUUCACAAAAAAUUCAAACAGACACAGCUGUAACCCUAUCAACCUUAUCAAGCAACGCAGUCAAAGAGGAAAGAGUUUUUUUCUUUGUUUAGCAAAUUAUCUUAACUUUGCUACCUGUGCUAUAGAAAAUCAUGUACUACAAAAGCAAAUUACAUGCAGUUAUAUCCAGACCUUUCUUUGCCACCUUGUCUUUUAAUGUUGUAUAUUGGUGAACAAAAUUAAAUGCCUAAAAGUAACAGCAAUCUCCUCACUAAGCAGGAGACUUCUUUCUUGCUUUUCUUUUUUUUUGAAUUCAAUUUAAAGUUAUCUGCAGUCUCAUUUUUAAUGCCUGGCUUCUUUAUUUGCAUUCCAGAAAGGCUGUGCCAAAGAGGUCCCCCAAAUUUGUCAGAGUUAACUAUUUCACUAAACUUAAAGCUACCACCUCUGGUGAUUAAUCAAAUUUUGCUCUAAAUAGGAUUAAUUCGGCUGUAUCUGUGAAGAAGAUUGUCAGAGUGCACGUCCCUCUUCUCAUCUGUCCUCGGGUCUUUUUUUCUUGCUGAAUUUAAAAUGAAGCUUGAGCUAUAAUCUUGCAUGGCAGAUACUGGAUCGUUCCUUUGAUAAACAUCUAAAAUGCUAAUGAAUGUGGGCUGCAGUUCUGAAACAGCAAAGCAAACGGUUUGACAAGAAUCUGGAGGGGAAAAGGAAAAAAAGAGAGGAACUUUCUCACUUGAAAGAAAAACUCUUUUUGUUCACAUAGAGUAUUGUUUCCUCAAGAAAAAAUUUUCUGCUCUGCAGAAAACAGAAAAAAUCCUACUACAUCAAAAUGCAGAAGCAUGAAAAACUGAUGAGCUUUCAGAUUGUCCUCUUUUGCAUGCAAAUCAUAUCAGAAGUUCUCAUUAGCAUAAAUGCAUGAGCAACUCUAAAUGCUUUUAAUUUCCAAUCUCAGCCAGCAGAGGAGUAAUUUGUCACUGUCAGGGUGAAAAUCUAAAAAGAAAAAAAAAAGAGAGAAGGACUCCAUGCUAAAUUGGAAUCAUAUAAAUUUUUGAUUUGCUAAUUGACUGAUGCUGCAGUUCAAUCAGCUGCCUUGAAGGUGUAAAUAAUUCAGCGUACAGUCAGAAAUAAAAGCAUAAUGUGCUUCUACUGAAGGCGUAUUAGCAUUCACUGCACCAGGACACACCUGACCAUGUCUUUUUCAUAGGUACCCUUUAGUCAUGUUCAAACUCUAUGCUGUUAAGUGCACUACGCUAACAAACAAUCCUACCACUGGAAAUACUGCUUUCGUAUUAAGAAACAUGCUACAAGAGAUAGUUUAAAAUAUUUUCACUGCAACUAAUCCAGUGAGCCAGUCCUAAUACUUGCUGGAAUUGUGGAAUAUAUUUGUAUGACACUAAUGCAAUUACAAAACACAGAAAGUGCAUAAAUUGAAAUCCAACACUUCUAUCAACUUUUAAUUAUCUCUUUCCCUUAAUCAACUGCUUUAAAUGUCAUAUGCAAAGUGUAUUUCUUGCAAAAAUGCUUCUCAUUAAUGUGCAUACACUAAGGGUGUGUUUGUAUCUGUAUAGGUGGUUGCAAUAACGUGUGGUUUGAAAUAUAGGAAUGAUAUUUGGAUCACUUUGUAGUAUUUGUUUAAAUAUUUAUUUAUUUAUUUAUUUUGCAAGAUACUGCUUAAGUAAAAUCUAUGUUCAACAGAAUAGCUGUUUUCUCCUUACCUAAAUCAAAUUAGAUUAAUAGCCAUCUCAUAUAUUUGUAAUGUAAUUACUCUUCCAAAGACAUAAAUGAAUAAGUAACAAAAAGUACCCUGAAUAUACAAAAACCCUCCUAUGGAACAUAGAUGAAGAAAAGAUCCUGUUUAUAGUUUACCCGAUGCAUUAAGUUUCGUUUACCAGAUGCAUUAAGUAAAUCAUUAAUGUCUUGUCUGAUGGACUGCUGGAUAUGAAAAUCAAGCAUGGCUGCACUGACUCACAAAAUGAAUGCUUAGUUGUGAAUUACAUUUUGCACAAAAUCUGAUUGUACUGUUUUGUUGAUGUAGCACAAAAAUUAGCAGAAAAUCUCAUCUGAUCUUUAGAUAUGUCAUCAAACCUGUUUUCUCUGUCUCUAUCCCUCCAAAAAUAUAUUUAAAAUGUACUGUUCUUAAAAGGUUUGUUUAAACAAUUUGUAUGAACUCCUUAUCCCAGGCGAAGAGCAGCUUUAAUUGCCAGUAGCAGUCUUGCAAUGCUCUUUUGCAAGGGAAAUCUGGGUUUCUGAUAAUGAUAGGUUUAUGCCAAGUUCCCUAGUGUUUUCAAUGGAGAUUUAAUCUGAAUAGUCUGUAGGAUUAGGUUCCAAGUCAUACAGUUUGAUUCAGCAUUUGAUUCUGCUUCCAGUGAAAUCAAUGACAGCCUUGAUUCAGUCAUUUACACCUUUUAUUUGCCAUAAAUCGCACAUCUCCUUUUAAGAUAGUGUUAAAAUGCGAACAAUAGCCAAGUAGUGGGAAUACAUGAAAUAUAAUGAACAGAAUAGAAGCAGUAAGAAUUCAGUUUUCUAAAGGACAGUUUCUGCUUAGUCUGAUA
rnacentral:lncRNA from 1 species